rnacentral:rRNA from 1 species
CACGCUGUAAACGAUGAGUGCUAGGUGUGGGGGGGCUGACCCCUUCCGUGCCGGAGUUAACACAAUAAGCACUCCACCUGGGGAGUACGGCCGCAAGGUUGAAACUCAAAGGAAUUGACGGGGGCCCGCACAAGCAGUGGAUUAUGUGGUUUAAUUCGAAGCAACGCGAAGAACCUUACCAGGGUUUGACAUCCAACUAACGAAGCAGAGAUGCAUUAGGUGCCCUUCGGGGAAAGUUGAGACAGGUGG